GUGAGAGAAAGUUUGCGGUGCUGGUUUGUGUCACGUAAGUACAACUAGGUGAUUGACUGCUAUGUAAAAACGGUUGAAUGCUUGAAAUACUACGAUUAUGGAGUUGAUAGUGCAAAUAAUUGUAUUGCCGUUGUCAAAGAAUAUUAACAGGUAUUAACAGCUAAUAACAGAUCACAAAAGCGUUGCUUCAUAGGCUAAUGUAGCAUGCCACCUGUUGCUCGGGUAGGCUAGCUAGUUCGUUAGUAAUUGAAAUUGAACAAUGAGAAAGGCUUAGAUAAGUACCAUACACGGCAUCAUGUUAGUAAUUUAAAUUGAACAAUGAGAAAGGCUUAUAUAAGUACCAUACACAGCAUCAUAUUGCACAAUCAUUUUAAAACGUAAUUUACAUAAUGUAGUCGGCCAUUUGUAAAAAAUAGUUCGUUUUUAGUGAUUUACUUUAUUUCUCCCUGCAGCUUCAAAUAAGCAUCAUAAAUCUUAACUAUCUGCCAAUCUAAUAUUUUAUAUCUAUCUAUCUAUCUAUAAUCUUUCUUAUCUAUCUACUAUCUGUGUAUCUAAUCUGUUUUAUUUAUCUAUCUAUUCGGUUAGUCUGUGUUUUUGUAAAUUAGGUAACCUUUCAAUAUGCCAGGUAGUACAAGCAAGACAUGCCCCUCCUGCCAAACCAUUCUGCCUUGCGCCAAAAAAAUGCAGCCACUGCAAGAUGGUCCAGCCAGUGAAAAAACGCCUCAAAAUUGCAUUGAGCAAAUUUGAGGCAAAGCGGGAAGAGUGGGCGUCUUCCUGCAAAAAGAACCACAACAUGUUACGGUACGGGUUACUGGGACCCAAGUGCAGGACGCAGGGAGGCGGAGACAGGGUAAAGGCAAAGGAAUUUAUUCGUGGAGCGUUCGGGAAGUCAGGCAGGCGGGGGUCUGGUGACGGGCUGGCAAUCAGGUGGUCACGGGCUAGACGGUGGACGGGUAGUCAGGCAGGCGGGGGUCAGGAACCGGGAGGGCGAUCGUGCUGGAGGGGGCUAGGCGAGGUUCGGGCAGUCAGGCAGGCGGGGGGGUCUGGAGCCGGGAGGGCGAUCGUGCAGGUGGGGGCUAGGCGAGGAUCGAGUAGACGGGCAGGCGGAGGUCCGGUAGCGGGAGAAUUGCUGGAAGUGUAUGACGAACUGGCGCCGGUGUAAGUACCAUAUCGGCUCGGCUUCCAGAUCGGCUCGGGGUCCGUCGUCUGCUGAUUACGUUACACAAUAUCAUUGGCUGUACGCUUGAAUGGGCGUACAUUGUGAUUGGCUGUACGUCGGACAUUUGUAGCAAAUCAUUUUGGCUUUGUUUAGGCAUACAUUUGGCCUCUUUGGGCUUGUUUUGGCACAUGAGAAGCUCUUCUAAGAUGUGUGGGAGACCUGUGGCUUAAUUAUGAUCUGCCAUAAUAAAUAAAGGGCGCCACGUUAUUCUGGCUGAGUUAUGGCUCAUGUCUGGUUAACCAGCCGACAAAGUGAUGAUGCAUUUCAUGACUUACGGGUGCGCUUUGGCAUCUAUCUGGCUUGCCUUAAGGCUGCGCCAAGCCCGGGAAUUUUGAAGAUUUAUGCCCAGAGAAGAGCCCUCAAACAUCAGUUUGCCGGCGUGAUACCUUAAGAAGACCAGCUAUGUUUUCCGUUGUCUGCUUUGACAAUUCCGAGGAGGUGGAGGUUGUGCCAACGCAAUGGUACAAUAAUGGGGCGUGCAGGUGGCCCCCCCACAAGGCUGAGGGAGUCAAUCGGGCCAUAAGGCAGCUGGAAAAGCCCCAGGAUACCUGGCCUCUAUUUGACAAUGCCAGGGUUUUUUUUUCUUCAGAUAACUAUCUGGAGUGUCGCCAGAAGCUGCCACUGGCUCAAAACCAAACUGAUUUGGCAUCAGAGGUCGAAGACCCAACAACAGACCGGAGACCCAAAAGAAAAAUCAAGCCAAGUAGACACGUCCGAUCGGACUUUGAAAGUCAAGACCCCUGCAGUCCUCCAAAGAAACAGGCCUUCCAAAUCCUCCCUAAGGCCCCUGCCAUCUCUGGACCGUCCAACAUCAGGCGCUUCAUACUAGCGCAGCCCACGCAAAGUGGGUGUUAUGAGGUCCCUGUGAACAACGAGCAGCCUCAGGGUUUUCAGCUCUUCUGCGUGACCUGUUGGUUAACCAACAAAUACUGAUGGACCAGCAAAAGACCAUGAUUCGCAUGAUCCAAGACCUCCACAGAAACACCCAGGGAGGUCAGAGGAUGUCCACCACCUCCAGGCAUACUGCCUAUUUUCCACUAGGGGAUAAACAGGCUCUGGAGGCCGACCUGGCAAGCCAGCGGGACCUUCGUCAGGAAUUGGUUAUCACUCUUGGAUUGGCAGGGGGAGCUGAUGCCAAAGAUACUGUGUGGCGCAUUUUGAAACAGGCCAUCAAAAAUGACCUCACCAAGAACAUCUCAUGGCGGGGGAUGAAUGGAAAGAUUUCAUUUGAAAAUCUACACCUGAAGGCAGUAGUGAUGGAUGCAGUGAGGCGCAAUCCAUCCUGCUCAACCGCAACGGAUGUGCAGAUUGCGGAUGCCAUUAAGAAAUGGUUUUACUGGGCUGGGGAUCGGGAGGGAGGGAGGAAAAAACGCCAGCCGGCUCCAAACCAGGAGCAAACUGUUGGAUUAAAUCUAAUAAAAAUGUACUACUUUAAAAUAUUUUGUUUCAUUAUUUGUGCAUUAUACACAUAGAACAUAAAUUAACAAUGUAACUUAUGAGUUUUGGGUCAGUUAUGGGAUCACUUUGGGUCAGUUAUGGGAUCACUUUGGGUCAGUUAUGGGAUCACUUUGGGUCAGUUAUGGGAUCACUUUGGGUCAGUUAUGGGAUCACUUUGGGUCAGUUUCUUUUUGGCAAGGUUCUGGGGAUUUUGGCCACUCUUUGGGAUACUUCUGGCUAUAUUUUGGUAUUCCAAAAUUGGUU